UAAAGUGACAGCAAGUUUUUUAAGAAAGUAAAGGAAUAAGGCAGGGUGCAGUGGCUCACACCUGUAAUCCCAGCACUUUGGGAGGCUGAGCAUUACAGGCGUGAACCACCGUGCCUGGCCAAAAUGUAAUUUUAAAAAUAAUUUUUAAAAUCAUUAUACAAUUUCCUAGAAACGAUUUAACCCAAUUUAAAGAUUUACAUUUCUUUCCUUGUACUUCAGUGAAAAACUAUAGGAUUCAUAAAUCAAGGUGGUAUUUUCAGAUUUGUGUGGCAAAAGAAUAUACAGAGAACUGACAGAUGUAAAGGAUGUAUUCUAUCAAUAUGUGGAGGGUCCCUUACAUUU
rnacentral:lncRNA from 1 species